UUUGACCCGACUCGGAUUGAUUUAUAAAGUCGGCCAAUAUUACGUGCCGAAGGCACGUACCAUCUUUCAUUCGGGAUUUCCAAUUUAAAUGAGUUAGAUUUGACAUUAAUCCUGAUUCUAAGGUGGUUUCCGUCCGUGUGUUAAUAAAAUUUCUUUUAAAAUUCAUAGAAAUGUCUGAAAAAGUAUGAAAAACAGGCAUCUCAGGGCGAAGUACCCUGAAAAAGGUCGUCAGGGUACAAGAAAUUUAUGUGCCUCGUCGAGAUGAUUUUUUUGAGGCGUCGUGAGUUAAAAUCCGUUGAUCCGUUGAAUUGUUUCAUAAAUAAAACCAUUUGUGACAGUCUUCCGAGCCGAGCCGAGCAACAGUGAAAACCGAAUUUUCCGAAUUUUAAUUUUUCUAUGUGCGUUAGAAACUUCAAAAAUGGUAUGCACAUCGGCAGCAUGCAUGAGUGUGCGAUUUGGGUCCUUUCGGGGGAAAAAAUUGCGUUUUUCUAUUUAAUUUUGGAUACUUGCAAGCGCCGUCGUUUCCAACAAAUUCAAAGAAAUGCUAACAGCGUCAAAACCGGUUGCAUUAAAAAAUUACCGGUUUUUUCAUAAUGCCAAGCACAAUUUAAAUUCUUUUCAGCCUCAAAGCUGCCUGUUUGUAAUUUAUUUUGAGUUGUAAAUAUUAAAUAAACCUUCUUUUACCAAUUAACACCAGUUUCGUCUUUAUUCGCAACGAUUUGAACAUAAUUCACGAUCUCAUUCGUACCGGUACGAAGCAGCGCGCACCAGCGCCACCGCUGUUUUGCAGCAACCGCCGCGACGACUGCGAUUUGCUUUGUUGACACAGCAGGUGCCUGAAGUGCUUCAAAGUUAAUCUCGAUUUUUCCCAUCUUUUCUGACUUUUCCGAUCCUUAGCGAGUGUUUUAGUGAUAGUGAGUGUGUGCAUCGUGUUAGUGAGAGUGCGUUUCAUCGAGUGUAGCGUGUUUUAAGUGCGAAAUUCGUGAGAAGAAAAGUGCCCCGUGUGUGUUGUGAUUGCGUGUGUUGUGCGGCCGAACGCAAAUUCGGCGGACAUUUUCGAGUGAAUCGUGCCGACGCGAGUGUUUCUGUGUGUUUUGUGAGUGAAAAAGUGAGUGUUUCAGUGAGUGAAUAGUGUUUUUCAGUGAGUGCAGUGUUUCAUUGUGCGACAAAAAGUGUUAGAACUUCUCAUCGCAGCCGGAGACCACGCAGCCGCAUCCCCAGCGAGACCGAGGACAGCCGACGAGGACAGCAGACCACCGUGACAGCAGCUUUGGACCUUCGGACCAGGAUCGCCGAACAAGAUGCCGAGGCCAAAGAAAUCCCAUCGCGGUCGUUUCCAGAAGAAGGCCAAGAGUGCCACGACAGCUUCAGCAUCUUCAGUCCAAACCCAACGGACUGAAGAAGAUGCAGAAACCAGCACCGUCAACACCGGGUCCCAGUCAGUGUUCAAAAAGCCUGCUCCAAGACCAAAAACCGCCACAUCCAGCGUGUCGAGUCGAGACACUUCAUCGUCUUCGACCUCAGCUUCGGUGUCGUCGCGUGCGCCUGUCGAAGGCCUACCACAUCAAGUAGAGCAGAUCGACGUUGGCCAGUGGUUGGUGAGCGGCCAAUACAACACAGAAACCAAUCAAGGUGACAUGAUUUUUAUUUAAAUAUAAUAAUUUCUUCCUCAAUUCAACUGCUUCCUCAAUAUUUCAUGUUCCUUUGUUCUUAUGCUUUUUCUUUCAGGUGGUCAAAGAGGACGUGGACGUGGGCGUGGACGUGGACGUGGACGUCCAAAAAAAACAGACAAACGUCCCCAAUCUUGGCGGAGCCAGACCCCAAGUGCGAGUGUCUCCGAGCCCAGUUUGCCACCACCAGAUGAUCAAGUAGAUGAUGAACCUCAAGAAAGUGAAGAGUUGGCGAGGAGCGACCAAAACAACGGCGCAACUAUUCAAGGUGGGCGAAAAAAAGGAGGUCGCCCAAAAAAGUCUGUCAAGAAUCCUGGUUGGUUUCGUCCCAAGACCCAGAGUUCCAGUGUGACCCAACCCAGUUUGCCGGCGCCCGAGGUACCACUUGAUGAUGAACCCCAAGAAAGACAAACGCCAAUGAAUCGGCCAGCUCCAC